CUAGAGUCCAGACUCUCCACCCUCUUCUAUUCCUUUUUUCUUAUCUUUAGCAAGUUGUUGCCAUCCUUCACCUUUCCCACAUCAAAUUGAAGAUUUCAAUGGCAAGUGAAAGCAUAAUCCAACUCCUACUCCUAACAAUGCUGCUACGCAGCUUACGCCUAUUGGCAUGCCAUCAUCGUCACCAUCACCUACUACACAACAAACUAUAAUCUCCACUAAUGAAAGUGAUGCUGUCAAUUCUAAGAAACGGAAAGCACUUCCACUGAGGUCUAAAAUUUGGAAACACUUCACCAGAUUCGUCAAUGAUCAAGAGUUGUCAAAGAUUGCAGUGGAUAAUGUACUUGAUAAUCUUUAAGGGUAUAACCUAUAUUUAUGCUACAUUGCUCAUAGCAUCAAAAGGCAUUUGGAGAAGAAGUAAUCUUUGAAGAUUAUUUGCGUUCAAGACUAUUUAUUGUUGUUUUUAUCCAUUGUUGAAGACUGUAAAUGAUUUGCUAUUUUUUGUUGAAGACUAUUU